rnacentral:rRNA from 1 species
GACGAAGGGUGCAAGCGUUAUCCGGAUUCAUUGGGUUUAAAGGGAGCGUAGGUGGCCUUAUAAGUCAGUGGUGAAAUCUCUGGGCUUAACCCAGAAAUUGCCAUUGAUACUGUAGGGCUUGAGUAUAGUUGCCGUUGGCGGAAUAUGACAUGUAGUGGUGAAAUACAUAGAGAUGUCAUAGAACACCGAUUGCGAAGGCAGCUAACGAAACUAUAACUGACACUGAGGCUCGAAAGUGCGGGGAUCAAACAGG